rnacentral:rRNA from 1 species
UCCAGACUCCUACGGGAGGCAGCAGUGGGGGAUAUUGCACAAUGGGGGGAACCCUGAUGCAGCGACGCCGCGUGGGUGAAGGAGCGUUUCGGCGCGUAAAGCCCUCUCGGCAGGGAAGAAGGAGGACGGUACCUGGCUAAGAAGCCCCGGCUAACUACGUGCCAGCAGCCGCGGUAAUACGUAGGGGGCAAGCGUUAUCCGGAUUUACUGGGUGUAAAGGGGGCGCAGACGGCAGCGCAAGCCAGGAGUGAAAGCCCGGGGCCCAACCCCGGGACUGCUCUUGGAACUGCGCGGCUGGAGUGCAGGAGGGGCAGGCGGAAUUCCUGGUGUAGCGGUGAAAUGCGUAGAUAUCAGGAGGAACACCGGUGGCGAAGGCGGCCUGCUGGACUGCGACUGACGUUGAGGCCCGAAAGCGUGGGGAGCAAACAGGAUUAGAUACCCUAGUAC